CGAAGGAAAAUGAACGGAAAAUGGAGCGGUCAAGAAACAACAUCGAAGAUUUAGGGUUGUCAAUGGAUAACGCAACCCAUGGACUUGCGUUGUACCACUG